rnacentral:rRNA from 1 species
UACGUAGGGGGCAAGCGUUGUCCGGAAUCAUUGGGCGUAAAGAGCGCGUAGGCGGCCCUGUAAGUCCGCUGUGAAAGUCAAGGGCUCAACCCUUGAAUGCCGGUGGAUACUGCAGGGCUAGAGUCCGGAAGAGGCGAGUGGAAUUCCUGGUGUAGCGGUGAAAUGCGCAGAUAUCAGGAGGAACACCAGUAGCGAAGGCGGCUCGCUGGGCCAUUCCUGACGCUGAGACGCGAAAGCUAGGGGAGCGAACAGG